rnacentral:rRNA from 1 species
GAUGAACGCUGGCGGCGUGCCUAAUACAUGCCAGUCGAGCGAACAGACGAGGAGCUUGCUCCUCUGACGUUAGCGGCGGACGGGUGAGUAACACGUGGAUAACCUACCUAUAAGACUGGGAUAACUUCGGGAAACCGGAGCUAAUACCGGAUAAUAUAUUGAACCGCAUGGUUCAAUAGUGAAAGACGGUUUUGCUGUCACUUAUAGAUGGAUCCGCGCCGCAUUAGCUAGUUGGUAAGGUAACGGCUUACCAAGGCAACGAUGCGUAGCCGACCUGAGAGGGUGAUCGGCCACACUGGAACUGAGACACGGUCCAGACUCCUACGGGAGGCAGCAGUAGGGAAUCUUCCGCAAUGGGCGAAAGCUUGACGGAGCAACGCCGCGUGAGUGAUGAAGGUCUUCGGAUCGUAAAACUCUGUUAUUAGGGAAGAACAAAUGCGUAAGUAACUAUGCACGUCUUGACGGUACCUAAUCAGAAAGCCACGGCUAACUACGUG